CCUACGUGAGGCAGCAGUGAGGAAUAUUGGUCAAUGGACGCGAGCCUGAACCAGCCAAGUAGCGUGAAGGAUGACUGCCCUACGGGUUGUAAACUUCUUUUAUAAAGGAAUAAAGUGAGGCACGUGUGCCUUUUUGUAUGUACUUUAUGAAUAAGGAUCGGCUAACUCCGUGCCAGCAGCCGCGGUAAUACGGAGGAUCCGAGCGUUAUCCGGAUUUAUUGGGUUUAAAGGGAGCGUAGAUGGGUUGUUAAGUCAGUUGUGAAAGUUUGCGGCUCAACCGUAAAAUUGCAAUUGAUACUGGCAGUCUUGAGUACAGUUGAGGUAGGCGGAAUUCGUGGUGUAGCGGUGAAAUGCUGAGAUAUCACGAAGAACUCCGAUUGCGAAGGCAGCUUACUAAACUGCCACUGACAUUGAUGCUCGAAAGUGUGGGUAUCAAACAGGAUUAGAUACCCCGGUAGUC
rnacentral:rRNA from 1 species